GAUGAACGCUGGCGGCGUGCUUAACACAUGCAAGUCGAACGGUGAAGGCGGAGCUUGCUCUGCUGGAUCAGUGGCGAACGGGUGAGUAACACGUGAGCAAUCUGCCCCUGACUCUGGGAUAAGCGCUGGAAACGGCGUCUAAUACUGGAUACGAGCUGCGAAGGCAUCUUCAGCAGCUGGAAAGAACUUCGGUCAGGGAUGAGCUCGCGGCCUAUCAGCUUGUUGGUGAGGUAACGGCUCACCAAGGCGUCGACGGGUAGCCGGCCUGAGAGGGUGACCGGCCACCCUGGGACUGAGACACGGCCCAGACUCCUACGGGAGGCAGCAGUGGGGAAUAUUGCACAAUGGGCGAAAGCCUGAUGCAGCAACGCCGCGUGAGGGACGACGGCCUUCGGGUUGUAAACCUCUUUUAGCAGGGAAGAAGCGACAGUGACGGUACCUGCAGAAAAAGCGCCGGCUAACUACGUG
rnacentral:rRNA from 1 species